rnacentral:rRNA from 1 species
UACGAAGGGGGCUAGCGUUGUUCGGAGUUACUGGGCGUAAAGGGCGCGUAGGCGGCCCUCCAAGUCGGGUGUGAAAGCCCACGGCUCAACCGUGGAAUUGCACUCGAGACUGAAGGGCUCGAGGACGGGAGAGGAUGGUGGAAUUCCCAGUGUAGAGGUGAAAUUCGUAGAUAUUGGGAAGAACACCGGUGGCGAAGGCGGCUUUCUGGGCCUUACCUGACGCUGAGGAGCGAAAGCUGGGGGAGCGAACAGG